rnacentral:rRNA from 1 species
UACGAAGGGGGCUAGCGUUGUUCGGAUUUACUGGGCGUAAAGCGCACGUAGGCGGAUCUUUAAGUCAGAGGUGAAAUCCUGGAGCUCAACUCCAGAACUGCCUUUGAUACUGGGAGCUCGAGUCCGGGAGAGGUGAGUGGAACUCCGAGUGUAGAGGUGAAAUUCGUAGAUAUUCGGAAGAACACCAGUGGCGAAGGCGGCUCACUGGCCCGGUACUGACGCUGAGGUGCGAAAGCGUGGGGAGCAAACAGGG